rnacentral:rRNA from 1 species
UACGGAGGGGACUAGCGUUGUUCGGAAUUACUGGGCGUAAAGCGCACGUAGGCGGAUUUGUAAGUCAGGGGUGAAAUCCCGGGGCUCAACCCCGGAACUGCCUUUGAUACUGCGAAUCUCGAGUCCGGAAGAGGUGAGUGGAAUUCCUAGUGUAGAGGUGAAAUUCGUAGAUAUUCGGAAGAACACCAGUGGCGAAGGCGGCUCACUGGACCGGUAUUGACGCUGAGGUGCGAAAGCGUGGGGAGCAAACAGG